rnacentral:lncRNA from 1 species
AGGCAUGAAUAGCACAAUAAAACAGCAGUUGGGGAACUAUAAGGAGCCUUUAAAUUGACUUUUUUUUUCCUCUUCCCACAGAGAUACUCUAUUAUAGCAAAGAAGAAAGAUAAUUUCAUUGAGCCAUCCUGUUUUACAGCACCCAACAGAAUCCCUUCAAAGCCUCGUGGUCUGACACCCUAUGCUACGUGACUUGUGACCCAUCCAUUUGUCAUGUUCUUCGGGAAUGUGGCUAAGGGGCUAAGAUGUGACUUGAAAAGAAAGGUAGAACAAGAUCAUCUCAAAUUUAUUAUCAAGGAAUAGUUCAGAAAACGACUUCAGACCACAGAGACAGCAGAACAGAUGGUCCGGCAUGGAUAGAGCAUCAGACACUCACAGACUGUGCCAACAAGAGCCAUCGAGUCAAAACAGCCAAAGGAAGGAGGGUCAUGGAAUGGGUUCUCUCACACCAAACUGAUGCCCAGAGGCCCUCAGCAUGAAUAACAAAGGCAACCAGACCCACAAGCCAUACUGAGUGGAUACAAAACCUAUACCUAGGCUGACAUCCCAAAUGUGUGUGGCAAGUUAGAUGAUGAUGGCACAAAAGACAGAACACCUUGCUUCUGGCCAUUGUCAGCUCUUGGAAGAGAGCACACUUUUAGAGGAGCAGCUGCAAGGAGCCUGAGAACAAAACUGGAAAUGUCUGUUAUGAAAGCCUUCACAGGUAUUAUUAACAAAAGAAAAUGUCUAUUUGUCAAUGGUGUUUCAGCUAGAUUUUGGCAGUCCA